rnacentral:rRNA from 1 species
GACGAACGCUGACGGCGUGCUUAACACAUGCAAGUCGAAGGGAGUGGCGAACGGGUGAGUAACACGUGAGUAACCUGCCCUUUUCUUUGGGAUAAGCCUGGGAAACUGGGUCUACUACUGGAUGGAUUGGGAUGGGCGCGCGGCUUAUCAGCUUGUUGGUGGGGUGAUGGCUUACCAAGGCUUUGACGGGUUGCCGGCCUGAGAGGGUGGUCGGUAACACUGGGACUGAGAUACGGCCCAGACUCCUAAGGGAGGCAGCAGUGUGUGCUAUUGCAGAAUGGACGAAAGUCUGAUGCAGCGACGUCGUGUGGGGGAUGAAGGCCUUCGGGUUGUAAACUCCUUUCGCCAGGGGAAGGGUAGUGAGUAAAGAAGCGCCGGCUAACUACGUGCCAGCAGCCGCGGUAAUAC